GCACUUAAUGGAUCAAUGGGGUAUUGCUGGGCCUCCGAAGCCCGAAGCACGCAAGGCAAUGGGAGGAGAUCCUGAUCCGGGCUGGGUGGAUGCU
rnacentral:tRNA from 1 species